GAAGACUUCUUGGAUUACAGGGG
rnacentral:miRNA from 1 species